GCGGUUUGGCAGGUGUGGCAGCCCUUUGCCGCAGACAUCUGUCGGUGGCUCUGGAAGCCCGUGCCCCUCCUCAAAACGGAGGAAGGGCCCCGGCUUCCCGAGCCCCGGCGUCCGUUCGCCAGCCAGUCCCCGCUGCCUGUCACCCUGGAAGGAGAGGGGGAGACAGCCAGAGAGAGACGCAGCCUGGGAAAGCAAGACGCGCCUCCGCUUCGGAUGUCCCACGCGAACUCCUUCAGGCAAACGGGAUCCCGGCAGUACCCCCAGGACGUCAGGGCACCGCCUGACUCUGCAGGAGGACAUGCACGAUUCCACCCCGGGAGCUGGAGGAGGCCACCGGGGCCACCGGUGAUUCGGACUGAGCCCUUUUAGGGAGCGCAGGGCGGCGGGUGAGGCGCCGGGGACCCCCGGCUCCUGCCCCACCCCCACCGGGACGACUUCCAGCUGCUGGGGACCGCGGCAGCCACACCACGUGUUACGUGGGAACGAUUCAGCGCAGCUUGGCAGCCUGCCUAGUGGAAAGGGUCAGCUGAGAAAGGACGACACAGAAGAGAGAGCAACAAUAGUUGCUGACUCCCUUUCUCAAAGAACUGUGAAUCAACGGAGCAGGAGGUUGACAGAAUUAUGUGGAGCAUCCGAGCAGACAUCUACUCAUCUACAUUAAAAAUCAUCAACAUCAAGGGGCGCCUGGGUGGCUCAGUCGGUUACGUGUCCAACUUCAGCUCAGGUCAUGA